GUCUACAGCCAAACAGCACUGAACGUGUCUGAUCUCGGAAGCUAAGCAGGGUCAGGCCUGGUUAGUACUUGGAUGGGAGACCCCGUGGGAUUACCAGGUGCUAUAGGCU
rnacentral:rRNA from 1 species